rnacentral:rRNA from 1 species
CCCGCCGGCAACCGGCGCACGGGUGAGUAACACGUAUGCAACCUGGCCGCCACAGGGGGAUAACCCGCGGAAACGCGGCCUAAUACCCCGUGACGCCACCGGAGGGCAUCCUCCGGGUGGCCAAAGGAGCGAUCCGGUGGCGGAUGGGCAUGCGGCGCAUUAGCUAGACGGCGGGGUGACGGCCCACCGUGGCGACGAUGCGUAGGGGUUCUGAGAGGAAGGCCCCCCACACUGGGACUGAGACACGGCCCAGACUCCUACGGAAGGCAGCAG